UACGUAGGUGGCAAGCGUUGUCCGGAUUUACUGGGUGUAAAGGGCGUGUAGCCGGGCUGACAAGUCAGAUGUGAAAUCCGGGGGCUCAACCCCCGAACUGCAUUUGGAACUGUUGGUCUUGAGUAUCGGAGAGGCAGGCGGAAUUCCUAGUGUAGCGGUGAAAUGCGUAGAUAUUAGGAGGAACACCAGUGGCGAAGGCGGCCUGCUGGACGACAACUGACGGUGAGGCGCGAAAGCGUGGGGAGCAAACAGG
rnacentral:rRNA from 1 species